rnacentral:rRNA from 1 species
AGGACGAACGCUGGCGGCGCGCUUAACACAUGCAAGUCGAACGAUGAACCACUUCGGUGGGGAUUAGUGGCGAACGGGUGAGUAACACGUGGGCAAUCUGCCCUUCACUCUGGGACAAGCCCUGGAAACGGGGUCUAAUACCGGAUAUCACUUCCACGGGCAUCUGUGGGGGUUGAAAGCUCCGGCGGUGAAGGAUGAGCCCGCGGCCUAUCAGCUUGUUGGUGAGGUAAUGGCUCACCAAGGCGACGACGGGUA